rnacentral:rRNA from 1 species
GGGAGGCAGCAGUAGGGAAUCUUCCGCAAUGGGCGAAAGCCUGACGGAGCAACGCCGCGUGAGUGAUGAAGGUCUUCGGAUCGUAAAACUCUGUUAUUAGGGAAGAACAUAUGUGUAAGUAACUGUGCACAUCUUGACGGUACCUAAUCAGAAAGCCACGGCUAACUACGUGCCAGCAGCCGCGGUAAUACGUAGGUGGCAAGCGUUAUCCGGAAUUAUUGGGCGUAAAGCGCGCGUAGGCGGUUUUUUAAGUCUGAUGUGAAAGCCCACGGCUCAACCGUGGAGGGUCAUUGGAAACUGGAAAACUUGAGUGCAGAAGAGGAAAGUGGAAUUCCAUGUGUAGCGGUGAAAUGCGCAGAGAUAUGGAGGAACACCAGUGGCGAAGGCGACUUUCUGGUCUGUAACUGACGCUGAUGUGCGAAAGCGUGGGGAUCAAACAGGAUUAGAUACCCUGGUAGUCCACGCCGUAAACGAUGAGUGCUAAGUGUUAGGGGGUUUCCGCCCCUUAGUGCUGCAGCUAACGCAUUAAGCACUCCGCCUGGGGAGUACGACCGCAAGGUGAAACUCAAAGGAAUUGACGGG